CGGUAAAAUCAAAUCUAGGGCUUCACAGUUCAGACUUUAGUAGAAACAAACAUUUCUUCUUCUUAAAUUUCCACUCUCUCUGAAGAAGAACUUCAUAAACACAACAUAAAUUACUCCAAUCAGUGAGAUUAUUAUUGGAUCAGAUGAGAAGCAUAUUCGGAUGAUAAAUUGAUUAAGAAGGUGGAUUUGGUCGAGGGAAUCAUCAUCUUCUAGUGUUGUUGGUCUCAAAAAGCAAAUUUGUAGAUCAUUUUUUUUUCUUGGUCAUAUUUCAGUAAUGGCGAAUCUAUUACAAAUUCCAAGUGAUGAUUCGGUUCUUCUCCGCGUAAGUCACUCCAAUCUUAAAAGCUUCUCUGCAGAUGUUCGCUUCUCUCUUCAGAUGACUGUGGAAUCUGUGAAAGAGAAGCUCUGGAAAAAAUCUGGUACUUCUGUUGAUUCGAUGUCCCUUGAGCUUUUUGAUGAUACAGGUGCUAAAGUUUCAGACUUAAAUGACAAUUCCAAACCCUUCGGAUUUUACUCUCCACAUGAUGGGUAUCGAUUGAAUAUAUUAGACCUGGAUCCCUCAUCGGUUACAGCUGGUGGCUGGCUGGAAGAUACUUCACUGGUGGAGAAGUACUCCAUUUCUGAGGAAGCCUAUGAUAAACUUGGUGGUACUUUUAGAAAAUAUAAGGAAAAAUUCGCUUCUCAGAACCCAUCAGUUGUUGAAAAUAAAAUUACAGAUAACUACAUGGAAGAUCUCUGUGCAAACAUCAAGAAAGUUACUUUGGUUAUAUUGAUGAUGAUUAAAUGGCCCAACACUUUUCAAAGCUGUAAGAGUUCUGUUGCAUGUUGGUUUAAGUGGAGGAUGCUAACGAGUAAGGACCACUCUUCUUUCUUGUUGGAGAUAGGUGUGAAGUUGAACCAGGAGAAAAAAGAGGGGUUGUUAAAUUUGUAGGUAGAGCUGAAAAUAUUGCACCUGGUUUCUGGAUUGGAGUUCAAUAUGAUGAGCCGCUGGGAAAACAUGAUGGAAUGGUGCGAGGAAAGCGGUACUUCACGUGCCCCUCACUUCAUGGUGCAAUGGUCAGACCUGAAAAAGUAAAGGUUGGUGACUAUCCAGAGAAAGAUCCAUUUGAAGAAGAUGAAAUAUGAACCUGCUGUUAGAAGAAUCGAAAGGUUCUAAUGUGUACUGGUUUGGAAUUCUCUCUGCCUAUCAACGUUUAUAUGAUUGUCUGUAAGUUAGGCUGUAACCUUUACUGUGUUAUUAUCAAAAUAGCUGUUUGCAGCUGAAACUACCAUGGGUACUAGAAAUUUCAUCUAGUUUUCGUUACUAUCUUUGAGUUCAUCACCCAUCUUAAUUGGAAGUGGAAACGUAUUAGAAGACAAAUAGAAGUAUAGUACUUGAUCUCUCA